CCUGGAGAAUUUGAAUUAAAAGAAAAAGUUGCCUAAGAUAAUUUUCUGCUUACAAACCACUGAUUAUAAAUUUGGCCUCCAUGGCAAAAACAAGACAAAGAGCAUAUGAUUUUAAUGUAAACUCCAGGUGACGUUGAAUCAAAAUAUCUGUAAAACUUCAAGGGCUUGUGAAAAUUAACCAAAUAUGCUGCUUUCAUGCUGUACUCUUUACCAUUGUGCUCAUUAUCGUUGAGCUGGCCAUUAUAAAGAAUAGGAUACUAAAAUGAAUCAGCCUUUAGUGUGUAUUGGCAACAUCGUUUGUAUGCAACAUUGUUAAGUAAUGCAGUCCUCUGAUUACCUACGUUUAUACAUGAAAGGCUUUCAACUUAGGUAUGAGUAAACACUUUGGGCCAUCUCAUAAAAUCUGUCCAUUCCUUUCAGCACUUUAUCCUUCCAGAAGAGAAAUACUUGUUAGUGCAAGGCAAUCCCACUCUAUACUAACUUGGGGCCUGAAACACUAUAGAGGAAUUUGGGAUGUUUAUGUCUCUUAGACUUCAUGUAUUUGGAAAACAACUGAGCUGUAAAGAGAAUUUUGGUGCAGGAAUAACAACAAAUAUGUAACAAGAUACCAUUUUGCGAGUGGGUGAACAUAAUUUUAUUUGAAAAAUUAUGUAUACUGAUUCAACGUUUCAAAAAUAAAAGAUUUGUGGAAGAUUAUAAUCUUA